rnacentral:lncRNA from 1 species
GUUCCUCUCAUGGGCCUCCUAGGUGGCUCUCGCCCAUUUGGAGGCACAUACACCAUAUUUAUUUUAUCCAGAGUAGCUGGGGUGGCCAUUUUCGGGUGCAACUGGCAGAAGACUCUUCAGCCUGCCAAGCUGCCACCUUCUCCACGGGUUACAAGUGCUGCAUUGGAAAGUUUGGGGAUCAUGCCUCGGAAAGUGUAUGAGGUGAAUGUCAUGGCCUCAUGGAGUCAUCAACUGAACAGACUCAAAAGAACAUCAGAAGGGAAUAGAUGCUCAGACUGUCAGUCUUCACAGGAAUCAUCAGAACAGGCCGUCCUUUAUCGUCAUCGAUGCCUCUGUUCACCAUGGACAUGACUCCCAAGAAUUACUCCCAACAGGUAAUUCUUUUUUUGUUGUUUUAUUGAGGUAUAAUUGACAUACAACAUCAUAUUAGUUUCAGGUAGACACCAUAAUGAUUUGGUAAGUGUACAGAUUGUGAAAUGAUCACCAUAUGAAGUCUAGUGACCACCCAUCACCAUCCAGUGUUACAGACGUUUUACUCUUAUGAUGAGAACUUGUAAGAUUGACUCUCCUAGUAACUUUCCAAUAUGCAAUAUGGUACUACUAACAAGCAGUGUAUAAUUACAAUAUGUUCACCAUGCUGUAUAUUACAUCUACAGGACUUAUUUAUUUUAUAACUGGAAGUCUGGACCCAUUUCACCAACUCCCUAUCCUUUGCCUCUGUUUUCUGUAUCCAUGAAUUAGGUUUUUUUUUUAAAGGCCACACCUGCUGCGUACGGAAGUUCCCAGGCUGGGGUCAAAUCAGAGCCGCAGCUGCUGGCCUAUGCCACAGUCAUGGAAACACCAGAUCGGAGCCACAUCUGCAACCUAUGGGCUUGUGGCAAUGCCAUAUCCUUAACCCACUGAGCAAGACAGGGAUCAAACCUGCAUCCUCACUGAGACAACGCUGAGUCCUUAAUCCACUGAGCCAUCGUGGAAACGCCAACUAAUUAUUUUUUCAGAUUCCACAUAUAAGUGAGAUCAUACAAUAUUUUUCUUUCUCUUUUUUCAUAAGACAUAGCAUAAUGACUUGGCAUAAUGCCUUCAAGGUCCAUCCAUGUUGUCACACAUGGCAAGAUUUCAUUCUUUUUAUGGUUGAAUAAUAUUCUAUUAGAUGUGGGAUAUAUAUAUACACACACAUAAUAUCCCAUUAAAUGUGUGUGUUUGUAUACACACAUAUAUAUCUAUAUGUAAAAAACAUACACAUAUGUAUUAAAAAACACCACAGACCACAGUUUCUUUAGCCAUUCAUCCUUUGAUGGACAUUUAGGUUGUUUCCAUAUCUUGGCUAUUGUAAAUAAUGCUGCAGUGAACAGCAUGAAUGUGCAUAUAAUUUUUUAAAUGUGUUUUAAUUUUCUUGGGUGAAACCCCCAGAAGUGGAAUUUCUAGAUCAUAUGGUAGAUCUAUUUAAUUUUUUGAGAAAGCUCUAUAUUGUUUUCUAUAGUAGCUGCAUAAACUUACAUUCCUACCAGCAGUGAAAGAGGGUUCUUUUUUCUCCACAUCCUUGACAACACUUGUCUUUUUGGUAAUUGCCCAUCUGAGAGGUGUGAGGUGAUAUCUAGUGGUUUUGAUUUGCAUUUCCCUGAUGAUUAGUGAUGUUGAGCCUCUUUCAGAUACAUGUUGUCUAUGUCUUCUUUAGAAAAGCGUCUAUUCAGAUCCUCUGCCCACUUUUUUUUGGUUUUGGGUUUUUUUUUUUUGGUCUAAAAUUUUUAGGGCCACAUCCAUGGCAUUUGGAAGUUCCCAGACUAGGGGCUGAAUUGGAGCUGUAGCCACCAGCCUAUGCCACAGCAAGACAGGAUCUGAACCACGUCUGCAACCUAUAGCUCAGCUCAUGGCAACACUGGAUCCUUAACCCACUGAGGGAGGCCAGGGAUUGAACCCUUAUCCUCAUGGAUACUGGUAAGGCUCGUUACCGCUGAGCCACAGCAGAACUCCACUCUGCCCACUUUAUAACUGAUUUUUUUUGACUUGUAUAAGUUCUUUAUAUAUUUUUAUAUUAACAACUUAUCAGAUAUAUGUCUGUGAUUUGCAGAUAUUUUUUCCCAUUCAGUAGGUUGCUUUUUCAUUUUGUUGAUGGUUUCCUUUGCUGUGCAGAAGCUUUUGGUUUGAUGUAGUCCUUCUUUUUUAUUUUUCCUUUGGUGUUGAACCCAAAAAUCUUUGCCAAGACCAAUGUCAAGAAGCUUACUACCUAUGUUGCUUUGAGGAUUCUUAUGGUUCAGGUCUUACAUCCAAGCCUUUGUUUAUGGUCUAUGUAGUGGUCCAGUUUCAUUCUUCUGCAUGUGGCUGUCCCAUUUUCUUAGCAUCAUUUAUUGAAGAGAGUGUCCUUUCCCCACUGUAUAUUCUUGGCUCCUCUAUUGUAAAUUAAUUGACCAUAAAUGUAUGAGUUUAUUUAUAUCUGUUCCACUGAGCUAUGUGUCUGUUUUCCUGCCAAUACCAUGCUGUUUUGAUUAUUAUAACUUUGCAGUAGACUUUGAAAUAAGGGAACUUGAUGCUUAAAGCUCUCUUAUUCUUUAUCAGUAUGGCUUUGGCUAUGCAGGGUUGUGUGGUUCCAUACAAAUUUUAGGAUUCUUUGUUCUAUUUCUAUGAAAAAUGCCAUCAGAAUUUUUAGAGAGAUUGCACUGAAUCUGUAGAUUGUUUUAGGUAGUAUUGACAUUUAAACAGUAUCAAUUUUUCUAAUCCAUUAACAUAGUAUAUCUUUCCAUUUAUUUGUGCCUUCAGUUUCUUUCAGCAGUAUCUUAUAGUUUUCAGUAUACAGGUCUUUCAGCUGCUUGGUUAAAUUUAUUCCUAGGCAUUGUAUUCUUUUUGAUGCAAUUGUAAACGGGAUUGGUUUUCAUAUGUUGUAUUUCCAUUUUCAUUUGUCUCAUGGUAUUUUGAUUUCUUCACUGACCCACUGAUUUGUUAAGUAGCUUAAUUGCCACAUAUGUGUGAAUUUUCCAAAUUUCUUCUUGUAAUUGAUUCUACUUUUACAGCAUUGUGAUCAGAAAAUAUGCCUGAUAUGAUUUCAGUCUUCUUAAAUUUGUUAAGACUGUUUUGUGGUCUAACACAUGACCUAUUCUGGAGAAUGUUCCAUGAACACUUGAGAAGAAUUAUGUUUUAUUGCUCUUGGAUGGGAUGUUUUGUGUAUGUCUGUUAAGCCCAUCUAGUCUAAUGUGUCAUUUAAAGCCAGUGUUUCUUCAUUGAUUUUUCUCUGAGUGAUCUAUCCAUUGAUAUAAGAGGGUUUUUUAAGUCUUCUACUGUUACUGUAUUGCUGUCUAUUCUCCCCUUAGGUAUGUUAAUAUUUGCUUUGUACGUUUAGGUGCUCUUAUGUUGGGUGCAUAAAUAUUUAUGAGUGUUAUAUAUUGCUGGUGAAUUGACUUCUUUAUCCCAAGAGGUAAUCUUAAGUGAGAAGGCUAUUGACUAACAUCCUUGCUUAAAACAGGAAGACACAAGACUCCCCUUUGUUUUUUAAGUAAUUAUAAAGUGUUAGUAAAAUAAUUACCAUCUUACAGAAAAAAAGUUAGCUUUAAAGGAAGGAUAAGACAUCAAAAAAUACUAAUUCUGCUUAGUUCUAGAGUCCAGUAAGUUAAAGAAAUGUUGAAAAUAUCUACACAAUGUUAAAAAAACAAAGUAUUGAUUCACAGAAGAAAGCUAAAAGUAAGCUUAGUUCAGAAGAGCAGACUAGAUAAAAAAUACUCACCUUAGAAUGAUUUUAUUGGAGUUCUCAUUGUGGCUCAGCGGAAACAAAUCUGACUAGCAUCCAUGAGGAUGCAGGUUUGAUACUUGGCUUCACUCAGCAGAUUAAGGAUCUGGCAUUGCUGUGAGUUGUGGUGUAGGUUGCAGACAUGGCUCAGAUCUGGAGUUGCUGUGGUUGUGGUUUAGGCCAGUGGCUACAGCUCUGAUUCGACCCCUAGCCUGGGAACCUCCAUAUGCCAUGGAUGCAGCCCUACAGGAAAAAAAAAAAAAAAA